CAAGUUGGACUUGUAUGUAUAUUGGACAUAAAGUGUGUGACCAAAUGUCAAUUUUGAUGGGUGAUUUGGAUCCGUCGGAACAACUGGGCGAUGUGGCGGAUUAUGUUUCUGGGUUUCGGAGAAAAUUGUUCCUAGCAUGGAAGAUGGUUAGUAAUAAUCUCACUGCGGCGCAAAAGAAAAUGAAACACAGGUUUCCAAGGUAGUUUUCUAUGUCACCUGUCUACGAAUCAGAUCAACGGUAAAAGGACACAGAGUCCAGAAGCCAAGCUAGACGAAAGAAAGGAGGAACUACACCUACUGCUCCCUUCUGAAGUGAUGGAAGAAAUAGCCAAACUUGUUUCCAGGACUCAGUACACCCAACACACCAGGACCAAGGAACGUCAGAUCCGAAAAUUCACCACCCUACUGGCAAAACACAACCCCAGUGGAACCAACCCCUUCUCCACGACAGAAAAACAGGACACAUCCUUGUCUGACGCACAACGGGAGAAAUGGGUAAAAAACCUAUCAGACAGGGAGCUUACACAAACCGAAGAGGAGGUGCUUUACAAAGGUCUGAAUUUUUCAGUCACCCCUGAAGAGGAACCGACUGUCAAACUCAUCACAGCCACUGAGACAGCCAUCAGAAACAACAAACUCCCGGAAGCAGAAGCAGAACAGAUUAGACUUAAGGUAACAGCUGCCUUAGCUAGUGCAAAACCUCCAACCUCCAAUAUCACUAAUGAGGAAAAAAGAGCCAUUGCAUCCUUAGCCAAGGACAAGAACAUCACCAUCUUACCAGCUGACAAAGUCUCCUGACAGAUACCGCUACAUAUGAGAAACUCAAGCGAGACCCCACCAGCUCAUACAAGAAGAAGGUGGUAGACUUACUACAGAAACUGGAAAAGGAUAAAGCCAUUGACAGACCACAAUACUACCGUCUAUAUCCAGGACAAACCAUCCCUUGCAUUUAUGGAUUGCCCAAGAUCCACAAACCAGGGACCCCUCUC
rnacentral:lncRNA from 1 species